CUGAGUCUCUGGGAUUAAAGGCAUGUGCCACUGCUCCCAGAAUUAUUGGUAUUCUUGAUGACAGCCAUUCUGACUGUUGUGAGAUGAAAUCUCAGUGUAGUUUUGAUUUUCAUUUCCUUGAUUGCUAAUGAUAUGGAACAUGUUUUUCAUAUGUAUUUGUAUGUCUUCUUUUGAGAAAUUUGUGUUUAAUUUGUUUGCCCUUUUAGUAAUUGGGUUAUUUGAUUUUUUUUUUGGUGUAAGGUUUUUUGAGUUCUUUAUAUAUCCUAGAUAUUAACCUAUGUCAGAAUAGUCAUUAAUAAAGAUUUUCUCCCAUUCUGUAGGUUCUCUCUUCACAUUCUUAAUUGCUUCCUUUGCUGUGCAGAAGAUUUUUAAUUUGAUACCAUCCCAUUUAUUAACUGUUGGCAUUAUUUCCUGAGUGUUAGGUAGGCUGUUGAGUUGGAGUGAUGAUCCUACAUUUUCUUCUAGGAGUUGCAUAGUUUCUGGUCUAAUUCCUAGGUCUUUGAUCCAUGUUGAGUUGAUUUUUGUGCAGUAUGAGAGAUAAAAGUCUAGUUUCAUUCUUCUACAUAUGGAUAGCCAUAUGUACAAAUGGAUUGAAACAUUCAAUCCAUUUCUGUGUCAUAAAAUUACUGAUGUGUUGCAGUUAAAAUCUAACCCUUUAGCUUAAUCCCUUAUACUGUAUUUGAUUCCUCUUUACAAUCUUGUUGCCUUCUGAAUUGGUUAAUUUUCAUGAUUUAAUAUUUCCCUUAAAGUAGGUUAAAAAUUUCAUCUCAAUUCUGCUUCUAUAACUUUGCCAAUUAACUAGUUGUCUUAAUUCAUUUGGACUGCUAUAGCACACCAUCAUUAACUGGGCAGUUUAUAAAAACAACACAUGUUUAUUUUUGACAGUUCUGAAGGCUGGGAUGUGUGAGAAGGUGCAGCAGAGGAUCAACUGAGGGCACCUGCUGGUACAUAGGCAGCACCUUCUACUUGUGUCCUCACACAGUGGAAUGGACAGGGCAGCCUCCUUUGUAAAACCACUCUAAAGCUUCUUUUAACAUAGCUCUAAUCCCCUUCAUGAGAGCUCCAAUUUCACAAUCUAAUUACCUCCCCAAACCCCACCUCCUAAUACCAACACAUUGGUGAUUAGGUUUAAACACGAAUGUUGGGGAAGCAACAAACAUGGAUAUCAUAGCACGAGCCUUGUUAACAGAGUCUGAUGCUAAUUUAUCACUCAGACAGCAGAAGAUUAUGUAAAUGUCAAUCAGUUGAUCAAUAUACCCAUUUAUCUAUUUAGCUCUUAAAAUAAGAGAUUCUUCCUAGUUGCUUAGGAAAUUUUGGGAACAAUCUAAGCAAGUCUGAAAUCUACAUGGUGAGAAGUCAGAAAGAGAAGGUCACAAGCAGACUGGAACUCACAGGAAGGCAACUGCUGUCCAAGUAAAAUUCCUUCCAGAAUUUUUACCUUGAAUAAUCACCUGGAGUAAAGUCAAUAGAUUUAUUGCAUGCCCUCCUAGCAGCACAUAGAUUAGUGUUUGAUCAAAUACCAAAAGAUGGAGGCCCAGCCAUUUUCAUCUAUCAAUUAUUAUGCCUAUGUAUGAGUAUGAGUGCACGAAUGGUGUAACCCUAUAUCAUGUACAACCACAGAAAUGAAAAGUUGUGCUCCAUUUGUGUAAAACAUAAAAUAAAAAAAGAAAACUAUCACAUCUAGUUAAUACCUUUCCACUCUUCUCAACACUGAGAGCUUAUAAGACAUCAAUUCUCUUUUCUCAGUUUAUACACCAUUGUCAUGUAGUUUAUAUAUGUGUGUGUAUGCACACUUGUGUAUUUAAACAGUAUAAGAUUAUAUAUGUAUAUAUAUAUAUAUAUAUAUAUAUAUAUUUGUUUUGUAGUCAAUGUUAAUUUCAAUUUACUCCUGUGUAUAUCAUUUUCUUGGCUCUUCAUUUCUUCUUUUAUCAUAGACCCUAUAUCCAGGGGCAUUUUCCUUUUCCUGAAGUAUAUCUUUUAGUUCAUUUGUUUUUGUUUUAUUAAUGUGAAUUUAUGGAGGCAAUUUUCUCAAAUUUUAUUGAUCAAAUUUUCAUUUUUGAAAAAUUAUUUCUGUAUGUAGAAUUCUAGAUUGGUAAUUACAGCUUUCUCCGAAUUAAAAAUAUCUUUUAAUAUCUUCUAGCUUGUUACUGCUAUUGAGAAGUCUGCUGUAAGUCUAACCAUUAACUGCCAUUAAAUGAAUCUGACUUUUUCUUUGGCCAGUUUAAGAUUUCAUUCUUUUCUUUGGUUUUCUGUGUAUUCUUUAAAAUGAAGCUAGGCAUUCAUACCAGUGAUACCACCAGUUACCCAAGAGGAAUCCUGCUUCCUCACACAUUGAAGUAUAACAUUAGAGAAGCACACCAAGGCAAGCAUAUAAAGCAGGGUUUAUUUAGAAAGGGGUAACAUAGACUUCUCCCAGGAGGGGAAAGGAGGCCGUGGCUGGUAUCUUGGUAUCUUAAGAAGUGAGGGUAUUCUGCCUUUUUUUUUUUUUUUUUUUUAAUGUCUUAGGCUUCCUUUGUUCUCCUGCUCUCUUCCCUUUAUCUCUCUCCUUUCUGUGUAUGUGACUAUGCCCAGGAGAUGCUCAGGUGGAAUGACCAAAAGGUGAGAAGCAGAUGGACAGGGGGGUUGGCCAGAUGAAGCAGCCCAGGAUACAUUAAUUAACAGCUUUUACAACUCCCUGUAGGGAGGGACAAUUCCUGGGACAGAUUACCUUAGCAACAGGUUGGAACAGGUCAGGUUAUCAUGAUAAGGGUGGAAGAAGGGCUCUGAAGUCCCUGGGGGGCAGACUCCAACUUCAAAUUGGCCUCCUUGAUCCAACCUGACUUGAUUUACCUAUCUAUGUUGACUGCCUGUCUAAUGCUAGCUUCAUA
rnacentral:lncRNA from 1 species